UACGUAGGGUCCGAGCGUUGUCCGGAAUUACUGGGCGUAAAGAGCUCGUAGGUGGUUUGUCGCGUUGUUCGUGAAAACUCACAGCUUAACUGUGGGCGUGCGGGCGAUACGGGCAGACUUGAGUACUGCAGGGGAGACUGGAAUUCCUGGUGUAGCGGUGGAAUGCGCAGAUAUCAGGAGGAACACCGGUGGCGAAGGCGGGUCUC
rnacentral:rRNA from 1 species